UCGGAUUCAGGACCACAUACGAAAGUGACCCAGAUCGGAUUUGAAAAUAUCGGAUUUGUGUCGUUCACACUGUCAUACCAAGAUCGGAUACGGGUCGCAUAGGGGCGAAAAAAUCGGAUUUGAUGCGCUUUCGCCUGCAGUGUGAACGUAGCCUAAGUACUGCGCUUUAGAAGGACAGGAAGAUGUAAUAGUGAGACUGGAGUAAGGGGACAGAAGUAAUAAGAAAGAUGAAUAACUACAAGCAGAGAGAUCAUUUUAUUUGUGAAAAGAGGAAGCAACAAGGUGGAGAUGAGUUAAAAGAGGAAGAGCAUUGGACAGAGGAUGGAGAGCAGGACAGAGAGAGACGAUAAAACAGAGAUGUGGAGCAGAGGGGAGGAGUUAAAGAGGAAAUAAAGGUGAACUGGAAACAGAGGACGGUGACAGAGCACAAAGAGGCAAAGAAAGAAAACAAGAAAACAAAAAAGGAAACAAGAGAAAAGAGCCAGCAGUGAUGAAUGCAGCUCGAAUUCAUGACAAACAGAAGCUGAAGUCAUUCUGGGAGCAGAGGAUUGUUCAGCACAGCGAGCAGACGAAUGAUGAGGAGAACCGUAUGAGGAACAGCGCUUUGGCACGGAAGUAACCUCCAGCAGAACCAGGCUCAGGGAGGUACAGCCAUCUGCCGUGACCGGAUGGAGGUGAGGCGAGAAAGACAGAACAAAGACACGCAGUGGAAGAGAGCCAG
ensembl:lncRNA